CCUUGUCCUUUGUGGCCAGCAUGCCCUUCGGGGUGAUGGGGACUCACAGGAGACCGCCGGGGUCAACUCGGAGGAAGGUGGGGACGACGUCAAGUCAUCAUGCCCCUUAUGUCUUGGGCUGCACACGUGCUACAAUGGCCGGUACAAUUAGCUGCGAUACCGUGAGGUGGAGCGAAUCUCAAAAAACCGGUCUCAGUUCGGAUUGGGGUCUGCAACUCGACCCCAUGAAAUCGGAGUCGCUAGUAAUCGCAGAUCAGCAUUGCUGCGGUGAAUACGUCCCGGGCCUUGUACACACCGCCCGUCACGUCANGAAAGUCGGUAACACCCGAAGCCGGUGGCCCAACCCCUUGUGGGAUGGACUGUCGAAUGUGGGACUGGCGAUUGGGACGA
rnacentral:rRNA from 1 species